ACUCCUGCGGGAGGCAGCAGUGGGGAAUUUUGGACAAUGGGCGAAAGCCUGAUCCAGCAAUGCCGCGUGAGUGAAGAAGGCCUUCGGGUUGUAAAGCUCUUUUGUCAGGGAAGAAACGGUGAGAGCUAAUAUCUUUUGCUAAUGACGGUACCUGAAGAAUAAGCACCGGCUAACUACGUGCCAGCAGCCGCGGUAAUACGUAGGGUGCAAGCGUUAAUCGGAAUUACUGGGCGUAAAGCGUGCGCAGGCGGUUUUGUAAGUCUGAUGUGAAAUCCCCGGGCUCAACCUGGGAAUUGCACUGGAGACUGCAAGGCUAGAAUCUGGCAGAGGGGGGUAGAAUUCCACGUGUAGCAGUGAAAUGCGUAGAUAUGUGGAGGAACACCGAUGGCGAAGGCAGCCCCCUGGGUCAAGAUUGACGCUCAUGCACGAAAGCGUGGGGAGCAAACAGGAUUAGAAACCCUAGUAGUCCCAUGA
rnacentral:rRNA from 1 species